GACGAACGCUGGCGGCGUGCUUAACACAUGCAAGUCGAACGGGCCUGUCUUCUUUUUUGGGGGGUGGGUUGAGUGGCGAACGGGUGAGUAUCACGUGAGUAACCUGCCCUUCGGUCCUGGAUAACCGCUUGAAAGGGCGGCUAAUACGGGGUGGUCCGGUUGGUCCGCAUGGGCUGGUCGGGAUAGAUUCACUGUUUUUGGUGUUUCGGCGGGGGAUGGGCUCGCGGCCUAUCAGCUUGUUGGUGGGGUGAUGGCCUACCAAGGCGGUGACGGGUAGCCGGCCUGAGAGGGUGGGCGGCCACACUGGGACUGAGAUACGGCCCAGACUCCUGCGGGAGGCAGCAGUGGGGGGUAGUGCACAAUGGGCGGAAGCCUGAUGCAGCGACGUCGCGUGAGGGAUGGAGGCCUUCGGGUUGUGAACCUCUGUUUCCGGUGGUGAAGGCCCUGUCCGUGUGGUGGGGUUGACGGUAGCCGGGGAUGAAGCGCCGGCUAACUACGUG
rnacentral:rRNA from 1 species